CAGCAGCCACGGUAAAACGUAGGGUGCAAGCGUUAAUCGGAAUUACUGGGCGUAAAGCGUGCGCAGGCGGUUAUAUAAGUCAGAUGUGAAAUCCCCGGGCUCAACCUGGGAACUGCAUUUGAGACUGUAUGGCUAGAGUGUGUCAGAGGGGGGUAGAAUUCCACGUGUAGCAGUGAAAUGCGUAGAUAUGUGGAGGAAUACCGAUGGCGAAGGCAGCCCCCUGGGAUAACACUGACGCUCAUGCACGAAAGCGUGGGGAGCAAACAGGAUUAGAUACCCGUGUAGUCCCUGUCUCUUAUAC
rnacentral:rRNA from 1 species